GCAGAUCCAUUUUCUGCCACCGAAUACAUUAGCAUGGGAUAAUGGAAUAGGACCCUGUCCUCCUAUUUUCAGUUGGUUUUGGCAGCGCGAGGACUAGGGUAAUGAUUAAUAGGGAUAGUUGGGGGCAUUAAUAUUUAAUUGUCAGAGGUGAAAUUCUUGGAUUUAUGAAAGAUUAACUUCUGCGAAAGCAUCUGCCAAGGAUGUUUUCAUUAAUCAAGAACGAAAGUUAGGGGAUCGAAGACGAUCAGAUACCGUCGUAGUCUUAACCAUAAACGAUGCCGACCAGCGAUUAGGAGACGUUGAAUACAAAACACCACCAUCGGCGCGGUCGUCCUUGGCGUCUCGGUUUUUGGCGGGGCCGGGGGGCGGGUUAGGCCUGUGGCGGCGGCGAAUGAGACCGCCUCCCCCAU
rnacentral:rRNA from 1 species